rnacentral:rRNA from 1 species
GAUGAACGCUGGCGGCGUGCCUAAUACAUGCAAGUCGAGCGAACAGACGAGGAGCUUGCUCCUUCGACGUUAGCGGCGGACGGGUGAGUAACACGUAGGUAACCUACCUAUAAGACUGGGAUAACUUCGGGAAACCGGAGCUAAUACCGGAUAAUAUUUCGAACCGCAUGGUUCGAUAGUGAAAGAUGGCUUUGCUAUCACUUAUAGAUGGUCCUGCGCCGUAUUAGCUAGUUGGUAAGGUAACGGCUUACCAAGGCAACGAUACGUAGCCGACCUGAGAGGGUGAUCGGCCACACUGGAACUGAGACACGGUCCAGACUCCUACGGGAGGCAGCAGUAGGGAAUCUUCCGCAAUGGGCGAAAGCCUGACGGAGCAACGCCGCGUGAGUGAUGAAGGUCUUCGGAUCGUAAAACUCUGUUAUUAGGGAAGAACAAACGUGUAAGUAACUGUGCACGUCUUGACGGUACCUAAUCAGAAAGCCACGGCUAACUACGUG